AACGAACGCUGGCGGCAGGCCUAACACAUGCAAGUCGAGCGGAUGAAGGUAGCUUGCUACCUGAUUCAGCGGCGGACGGGUGAGUAAUGCCUAGGAAUCUGCCUGGUAGUGGGGGACAACGUUUCGAAAGGAACGCUAAUACCGCAUACGUCCUACGGGAGAAAGUGGGGGAUCUUCGGACCUCACGCUAUCAGAUGAGCCUAGGUACGAUUAGCUAGUUGGUGAGGUAAAGGCUCACCAAGGCGACGAUCGUUAACUGGUCUGAGAGGAUGAUCAGUCACACUGGAACUGAGACACGGUCCAGACUCCUACGGGAGGCAGCAGUGGGGAAUAUUGGACAAUGGGCGAAAGCCUGAUCCAGCCAUGCCGCGUGUGUGAAGAAGGUCUUCGGAUUGUAAAGCACUUUAAGUUGGGAGGAAGGGCAGUAAGUUAAUACCUUGCUGUUUUGACGUUACCGACAGAAUAAGCACCGGCUAACUUCGUGCCAGCCGCCGCAGUAACAC
rnacentral:rRNA from 1 species